rnacentral:rRNA from 1 species
CUGGUGCACCAGUUGUCACGCCAGUGGCACAGCUGGGCAGCUAUGUGCGGAUCGGAUAAACGCUGAAAGCAUCUAAGCGUGAAGCCGGCUCCAAGAUAAGAUUUCCCAUAGCAAAAGCUAGUAAGGACCCAUGUAGACUACAUGGUUGAUAGGCUGCAAGUGUAAGUGCGGUGACGCAUUCAGCUAGGCAGUACUAAUAGUCCGAGGGCUUGACCUU